rnacentral:lncRNA from 1 species
AUGACAAGGCGGAGACGGACCACCUCCUCGCGCUCGCCGCCGGCGCCGGCGAGGGCCGCCUCCGCAUCUUCCGCUGCGACCUCCUCAACCGCGCGGCGAUCCUCGACGCCGCGCGGGGCUGCUCGGGCGUCUUCCACCUCGCCUCCCCCUGCACCAUCGACCCAGUCAGCGACCCUCAGGUACCAACCAUUCCCCCGUCGUCGUUGUCCUCUCCCUCCUCUACCCCAGACUGACCUGCUAUGUUUAUUUGUGACCCGCAGAAGCAACUGAUCGUGCCGGCGGUGGAAGGGACGCUGAACGUGCUGCGCGCCGCCAAGGAGGCCGGGGGCGUGCGGCGGGUGGUGCUGACCUCGUCCAGCUCGGCCAUCAUGCCCAGCCCAGGGUGGCCGGCCGGCGAGGUCCCCGACGAACGCUGCUGGACUGACAUCGACUACUGCGAGAAGAACGGGGUGAGCCUACCCAUCGCUAGCGUAAUCUAGUUUCACCAUGCCGCACGAUGUGAUCAGCUUGGGAAACUCGGUGAACACCAGCGCAGAAGAAGGAUGCGGGAUUUACAUCGCCUGCAAAGCUUCGAUUUCGUCAGUAAUUCCGCUGAUCUCUGUCUCUCAUGUCUCAGCUCAGGUCACGUUUGCUUUUGCG